UUAAGUUCAGCGGGUAUCCCUACCUGAUCCGAGGUCAAAAGUGAAAAAGGCUUGUGGAAGCGGGCGUAUAGCUUUGAAUCGCGACUUGUGCUGCGCUUCAAAACCAAACACCGGCUGCCAAUUGUUUUGAGGCGAGUCUACACGCAAAGGCGAGACAAACACCCAACACCAAGCAGAGCUUGAAGGUACAAAUGACGCUC
rnacentral:misc_RNA from 1 species